rnacentral:rRNA from 1 species
AUUGAACGCUGGCGGCAGGCUUAACACAUGCAAGUCGAGCGGGGUGAUGGUGCUUGCACUAUCACUUAGCGGCGGACGGGUGAGUAAUGCUUAGGAAUCUGCCUAUUAGUGGGGGACAACAUCUCGAAAGGGAUGCUAAUACCGCAUACGUCCUACGGGAGAAAGCAGGGGAUCACUUGUGACCUUGCGCUAAUAGAUGAGCCUAAGUCGGAUUAGCUAGUUGGUGGGGUAAAGGCCUACCAAGGCGACGAUCUGUAGCGGGUCUGAGAGGAUGAUCCGCCACACUGGGACCGAGACACGGCCCAGACCCCUACGGGAGGCAGCAGUGGGGAAUAUUGGACAAUGGGGGGAACCCUGAUCCAGCCAUGCCGCGUGUGUGAAGAAGGCCUUAUGGUUGUAAAGCACUUUAAGCGAGGAGGAGGCUCUUUUGGUUAAUACCCAAGAUGAGUGGACGUUACUCGCAGAAUAAGCACCAGCUAACUCUGUGCCAGCCGCCGCAGUAA